rnacentral:misc_RNA from 1 species
AACGCAUCUUGCGCUCUUUGGCAUUCCGAAGAGCAUGCCUGUUUGAGUGUCGCAAACCUCUCACGCCCCGGGUUCUCACCUGCGCGGCCGUGGACCGUGGCCUUGGCGGGCGCUCGUCGCCGGCCUGGCCGAAAUACAUGCGGAGCGCCUCUGCUGCCCGCGACGACCGAGCGUUGUAGACCCCUCGCUUGAUCGGCGUGAGCGCAGGCUCCCAGCCUUAUCUAUUCGACCUCAAAUCAGGUAGGACUACCCGCUGAACUUAA